rnacentral:rRNA from 1 species
GGGGCGGGGGGGUGCCUAUACAUGCAAGUCGAGCGAACUGAUUAGAAGCUUGCUUCUAUGACGUUAGCGGCGGACGGGUGAGUAACACGUGGGCAACCUGCCUGUAAGACUGGGAUAACUUCGGGAAACCGAAGCUAAUACCGGAUAGGAUCUUCUCCUUCAUGGGAGAUGAUUGAAAGAUGGUUUCGGCUAUCACUUACAGAUGGGCCCGCGGUGCAUUAGCUAGUUGGUGAGGUAACGGCUCACCAAGGCAACGAUGCAUAGCCGACCUGAGAGGGUGAUCGGCCACACUGGGACUGAGACACGGCCCAGACUCCUACGGGAGGCAGCAGUAGGGAAUCUUCCGCAAUGGACGAAAGUCUGACGGAGCAACGCCGCGUGAGUGAUGAAGGCUUUCGGGUCGUAAAACUCUGUUGUUAGGGAAGAACAAGUACGAGAGUAACUGCUCGUACCUUGACGGUACCUAACCAGAAAGCCACGGCUAACUACGUGCCAGCAGCCGCGGUAAUACGUAGGUGGCAAGCGUUAUCCGGAAUUAUUGGGCGUAAAGCGCGCGCAGGCGGUUUCUUAAGUCUGAUGUGAAAGCCCACGGCUCAACCGCGGAGGGUCAUUGGAAACUGGGGAACUUGAGUGCAGAAGAGAAGAGCGGACUUCCACGUGUAGCGGCGAAU